CCCGCCGAGAGUGCUUCCUCUUUGGAGACUCACUGAACACAGAGGAGGAAGGAAUGUCAAAUUUUUCCUUUUUGUUGUUGUAAUACACACUUAAGCCACACAAGGCUUAGUGCACCACUACCCCCAGCACGGAAAGCAUUCAAGUUUUCUUCCUAGUGAUUUCUUCAUGCACUCUACUCACAAGGGACAUAUCUUGUGUUAGUAAGUUGUGAUUGUCAAGACUUUCUUUUGGUCUAGCUACGAAUGCAGUAUCUUGCCAAGAACACAUCGGCAUGCUGUAUGGGGAAGACUGAUAUCGAACUGACAACCUUCUGGCCAGAGUAUGAUCACUGUACCCUUUGAGCCACAGCAACCGCUAACAUGGCUCUUAAAGCAUUUGUCUCAUUGAAGUCUCUGGCAUCUUUGCAGGCAUGCAGCAACACAAACAGUGGCACCUCUGCAGGUGUGUAGACACAUUACACAACACAAAGACAGUCAUGUGACCUGUGAAAUUAGAUCGUAAACAACAUGAGGGAGGACAGACGUGCUCUACGGUGCAAGACGUGACAGUAGUUGGGGCGUGCACUCUGCGGGACACUGUUAAACAUGAAGUUACAUGAAUGUUUACCCAAGUUUGCCUCAAGGACAGGCCCAACAGCUGGAGGAGAGCUGCCUGCAAAACAACAUGGAAAUAUAAUAGUGAUGUUUAUGCUGCUGAUGAGGGGAGAUUUAUUCACUCAGUCAUUUCAGGCAUUGUGGGUGUGACCUUUAAAAGGUGUUUCUUUGAGGAACACAACUUCCCUGAAAACAGAGCCUUACAUUUCAUUACAUUUAGCUGACACUUUUUGCCCAGGCGACUUACAAUAAGGGAAUUUAACCAUGAGGGUAUAAACCCAGAACAACGAGAUUAAAAAAAAAUACAAAGAGCAGCACUGAGCAGUCACUAACAAACCAUUUCUCAUCUCAAUAACUCCACACAUGGAGGUCAGUGCAUGCCAACUAUUACACACUGGAUUUUUUCAGAAAUAUUUUUUAAACUUUUAAGAUUUCAUGAAACCUGCCUAGCUUAACAGACCAAUACCUCUUUAAGCCCUAAUGGUUUUAUGAGUUAUGUCCCUUUUCCUCUUGCCUUUUUUUAUUUGCCUGUCAAAUCAUUCAGAGUGUACACUGCAGAAAAGUCUUACUGAGAGCGAGUGAGUGUGUUGAUGACGUUUCUAACACAGGACAGAUACAAAAAUAAAACUACACAAGACGUAUAAGACAUCAACGAAGAUUCUUUUUUUUAAUGAUAAGGGUCAAUGCCAGUGUUGAUGGGUGAAUGUGGCUUGCACUGUAAAGCGCUUGGAGAGGUCCCUAAGAACUGAAAAGUGUUAUUUGAAUACAGAGCAUUACCUUUUAUAUUCCCACUCUCAGACGUUCCACUCCUCCCUCUGUCUCUGUGUUGUUCUCACAUGCCCCUACAAGGACACACACUCUCUAACAAACUGCAGUUUGGCUCAUGUCCCAGUCAAGGAAGCUAUGAAGCUAUGACUGUUGGGGUGGAGAAGCUGUGUAUACAGAGGUGAGAAUGUCUGUGGUGGUGAAGAGAAUGUGUGUCAAGGUGGAGAGGAUGUGUGUGAAGGUGAAGAGGAUGUGUGGUGGUGGAGAAGAUUUGUGUGUGGUGGAGAGGAUAUGUGCAGUGGUGGAGAACAUGUGUAAUGUGGAGAGGAUGUGUGUGUGGUGGAGAACAUAUGUGUAGGUGAUGUGUGUACAUCUCUGUAUUGUAUCUGAAUUUGUAUUUGAUUAAUCUUUUCUAAAUCUGGAUUAUAUUUGUAAUAUUUUGGCUUUGAAAAAUAAAAUUUUCCAUUCACCAGGGACUGAGUUUUACUUUGUUCAC